AUAGCCAGAAGAGAAAUAGAGAUAAUACAGCAGGAAAUAAAAUUCAAUGUGGAAAAUACAUUUCAAGAGGAGAAUAAAGCUUGUGCCCCAAGGUGGCCAAAAUGGAGAGCAGAGCCACCAGACCUACAGAGACAGGGAAUGUCUCCUUGGCACCCAGGAGAGCAGAUGUCUAGAGGAGUCUUCAACAAAUGCAGGAUGAUGACAGGAGAGGAGAGAGAUCCCUAGGAAUGGCUAUGCUUGAACUUCACACCAGUCUGUAUUAUCCUUGAGCACUUUCUAUGCAUGCUCCAAGCACUGUUGGAUACCAGGGAGGAAAGAUGAAUAAGAUGUCCUACUUUGGAGGAACUCUCAGUCUACUGGAGGAAUCUACAUGCACAGAGUAAGGUAUG